GACGAACGCUGGCGGCGUGCCUAAUACAUGCAAGUCGAACGCAGUGGGGACGGGUGAGUAACACGUGGGUAACCUCCCAUCAGAGGGGAUAACACUUGGAAACAGGUGCUAAACCGAUACGGAUGGAGGGAACAGCGGUGCAUUAGAUAGUUGGUGAGUUAACGGCUCACAAAGGCCACGAUGCAUAGCCGAUCUGAGAGGGUGAUCGGCCACACUGGGACUGAGACACGGCCCAGACUCCUACGGUAGGCAGCAGUAGGGAAUCUUCGGCAAUGGACUAAAGUCUGACCGAGCAACGCCGCGUGAGUGAAGAAGGUUUUCGGAUCGUAAAACUCUGUUGUUAGAGAAGCGGUAUCUAACCAGAAAGCCACGGCUAACUACGUGCCAACAGCCGCGGUAAUUC
rnacentral:rRNA from 1 species